GUGACACUUGAAUCUUUUGAAUUUAAUCUUUUCUGAAUCUUUUCGGAAUCUUUUUGAAUCUUUUCGAAUCAGCAAAAUUCCGAUAAAAAAAUCAAAUCACUUUUGCUUCAGUGUUUUGCGCGCAAAUCUGUCAAUCCUGAAAACGAUCGAAAUUGUCAACAAAAAUGGUGCGGUCUUGUGCGGUCGAUGCUGUGUAAUUCCGUUUUUUUAGUAAAAUUCGUGCGCGAUCGAUGUGAUUUUCGUAGUGUUUUAUAAUUCUACGCAUCCGGGAACGAGAAAACGGUAGGCUGUGAGCACCAGAGCCAUUACGAGGACUGGAACUAGAGGGGGAAGUGCGGGAAGUAGCGACUGCAGGAGCAGAACACCUAUGAACACUUCGGAACCAGGUAUGAUGGUUUGUAUUCAUUGCCGGAACGAGAGCAGCAGUUUUUGAGGCCGGAGAAGAUUUUUAUGAUUGAUUGAGACGCUUCCUUACUCUGGAAAACCCCCCAUAAACCGUGAAAUAUAUUAGCUGAAAAUGUCCCAUUUGAAAUGGUAAAACAAUGUAUUUACCUUGCCAACAAGAAGCAUUGCGUGACAGUGCUGGACUGCUUCCCGACUAUGGAAGGAACUGGUGUUCUACGUGCUGGAUACGCUGGUGUACAAGGAAAUGAAUCUGGUAAUGUAUCUUACAUAUGUUGAACGGCACUCGUUUGGACGGAUUUAUGUUUUACCACUAAGAGUCGAACUAGUUGUACGAACAUGUACGGCCAAACGCCGCUGGUGGCUGUUUUUCUUUAUGGUUCCGGAUGUGCUCGGAAGCGAAUAAUGCCAGGCAGUGCACCAUCAUUAUCUGCAGCAGGAAUCCAUCGGUUACCAAGAUUAGAGUUACAGGGCAUGGACGACAUGGACGGAGGGUCGGGAGAGGUGUUGGGCACCUAGGAGAAGAUGUCUGAGGUGCCAGUAAAGAAAACAACGGUUAUGCGGACGAAGACCGACAGCGGAAAGAGUUGGACGAGAUUUUGCGUCUAGAGAUAGAGGGGUAGAACGACAGUGUUUUAUUAAUCGGAUCCCGGAGUCCUCGCUUCUGAUAUCAAACGAACAUCUUUUGAAAAAUGGUUACAAUGAUGGUCCUGGAUGCAUCUUUUUAUCGACAGACCUAUUAACCAUGGCAAACAUUUUUGUUGAAAGGUACCGCUUCGCCAUCCAUACAAAGGAACCAAUGCAGUGAUCCAAACGGAGCCAUGUCUAUUUAUUAUUUUGUUAUUGUUAUAUUAAUUUUCUUUUAUUUUCGCCUUUGUCAAUAAAUAGUGUUGUGGUGGGUGGGGAGUUUUGAUGGGUACUUCUAAAACAUCCGAAAUUGAAAUACGGGUCUCUGAAUACGACCAUCAAAUGCAUGGUCACCUGCAUUGUUCUAGGGAGCUUAAAAUAAUUAUAGGUAAUAAUUAGGAUUUUUUUAGAGCUUGCUGAUAAAACCUUUAAAAUUCUCGAAGUGACACAAAACAAGGAAGUGUAAUUUUGUAAUCAGUUUCAACUCUCCAAAUACCAUGGCCAAAAAACAUCGCAAGUUGCUAGGUGACGCAGGUACGUUUAAUUUUGACUUUUCUCGAAAACGACUUAGAGAGUUCAAACGGUUCUUGCCUGCAAAUUAAUCAGAAUUUUUGAGAACAAGGAAGGUUCACCAAGUCAUCUGAAAUUGCGAGGUGAUGCAAAAUUUGUUAAGUUUUGAUUUUAAACAUUUUCCAAAAACUUUUUGAAAAGUUUAAAAGUUCACCAUAUCCUCCCAAAUUGUAAGGUGACGCAAGUACUAAAAACCUUGAUAAGAACUUUAAGAAUUUUUUAAACGAUUCAUGAGAUAUUCUCCUGUCGUUGUCGAUGAAAAUGUUCAUCAAGUCCUCUGGAGUUCUUUGGUGACGCACAAUUCAUCUGCUUUGAAAAUAGAACCACUCCUCCUUCUCAUUAGAACAUGUCGUUGAAAAGGUUCACCAAGUCCUCUGUAGUUGUUUGGUGACUCACAAUGCAUCUGAUUUGAAAAUAGAACCACUCCUCCUACUCAUUAGAAC